GGUCCCCACCCUGCUCUGUUUUAGUCUUUAAUGCUGACGCCAUCCGUUGCUAAUAAACCCAUACUACAAAUGAGAUAAAAUGGACCCAUAUGCAGCUGUUAUAGUCUAUGUCGCUUUAUGAAUUCAGACAGAACUGUCUUAAUUACAGAUCAUUUAAGCCCAGGGCUGGCAGUCACCACCGAGGUCACACCGAACUUUAACGAGUACAAUUGUACUUCAGAGCGUCAGAGCGCAUCCUCCGCCCUGCACCAAAACACGGAAGCACUGUCUGGUUGAAAAGGACGCGUCAUACGUGAAGCCAACCAAUGAGAGGACAGGAUUAAAAUAGAGCCGUAUAUAUCGGAGGUUAGACCUACUUCUCACCAGUAUACGAAACCUACGAGUAAUGUUACAGACCUGCCCACCACUUUGUACUAUUUAACCCAACCUCUGGCAUUAUUAACUACAAUACUCUUUGAGCUUGUUAAAUAUAUAAUUACUUUUUUGAAUGUCUCAAAAACAUGACGUGUUAUUAUUACCAAACAAAUUUGAGUUUCUGUUUGGGUGGUAAACUAUUCUUAGAGGACCAGGGAGUCAUGCAAAACACCCUUGAAUAUGCCAGUUAGCCAACCGAAUGAACUGUUUGAAUAGUGAUACCUGAUGCAAAUUGUUGGAAGUCACAGGAAGUCACAGGAAGUCACUUUGAAUGGUCCCCUAAAUAUUUGUAGAGCAUUUUGACUUGCUGUGUGACUUAUCUAAAACACAUGUCCACUGUAUUAAUUCCUCUUUCAGAUAGAACACUUAUCUAUAUUCUGGGUGGUGUUGUUUUAUAUACCUGAAAAUGGCAGGAUUAUUUUUUUCUGAUAAGAUAACAUGGAUAAAUACACUGUAUGUGUGACUGAAAGGAGUUGUUUUGUCAUGUAAUCAUAAAAAUAAGGUCAAUGAUAAGGACAAAUGUUCUGUUAUCUUUAAGACUGCUGCUGAAGACAUUAAGAAAACUGACAUUUUUAUAUUUAGGAACUUGAGUUCUCCAAAUGGGGGCAACAUUAAACAAUAACCUGGUAAAUGAUACAAGUUGCU